UGACCUCAAAUCAGGUGAGACUACCCCCCKAACUUUAAGCAUAUCAAUAAGCGGAGGA
rnacentral:rRNA from 1 species